rnacentral:rRNA from 1 species
CCUGGCUCAGGAUGAACGCUAGCUACAGGCUUAACACAUGCAAGUCGAGGGGCAGCAUGGUCUUAGCUUGCUAAGGCCGAUGGCGACCGGCGCACGGGUGAGUAACACGUAUCCAACCUGCCGUCUACUCUUGGACAGCCUUCUGAAAGGAAGAUUAAUACAAGAUGGCAUCAUGAGUCCGCAUGUUCACAUGAUUAAAGGUAUUCCGGUAGACGAUGGGGAUGCGUUCCAUUAGAUAGUAGGCGGGGUAACGGCCCACCUAGUCUUCGAUGGAUAGGGGUUCUGAGAGGAAGGUCCCCCACAUUGGAACUGAGACACGGUCCAAACUCCUACGGGAGGCAGCAGUGAGGAAUAUUGGUCAAUGGGCGAGAGCCUGAACCAGCCAAGUAGCGUGAAGGAUGACUGCCCUAUGGGUUGUAAACUUCUUUUAUAAAGGAAUAAAGUCGGGUAUGGAUACCCGUUUGCAUGUACUUUAUGAAUAAGGAUCGGCUAACUCCGUGCCAGCAGCCGCGGUAAUACGGAGGAUCCGAGCGUUAUCCGGAUUUAUUGGGUUUAAAGGGAGCGUAGAUGGAUGUUUAAGUCAGUUGUGAAAGUUUGCGGCUCAACCGUAAAAUUGCAGUUGAUACUGGAUAUCUUGAGUGCAGUUGAGGCAGGCGGAAUUCGUGGUGUGGCGGUGAAAUGCUUAGAUAUCACGAAGAACUCCGAUUGCGAAGGCAGCCUGCUAAGCUGCAACUGACAUUGAGGCUCGAAAGUGUGGGUAUCAAACAGGAUUAGAUACCCUGGUAGUCCACACGGUAAACGAUGAAUACUCGCUGUUUGCGAUAUACUGCAAGCGGCCAAGCGAAAGCGUUAAGUAUUCCACCUGGGGAGUACGCCGGCAACGGUGAAACUCAAAGGAAUUGACGGGGGCCCGCACAAGCGGAGGAACAUGUGGUUUAAUUCGAUGAUACGCGAGGAACCUUACCCGGGCUUAAAUUGCAGAUGAAUUACGGUGAAAGCCGUAAGCCGCAAGGCAUCUGUGAAGGUGCUGCAUGGUUGUCGUCAGCUCGUGCCGUGAGGUGUCGGCUUAAGUGCCAUAACGAGCGCAACCCUUGUUGUCAGUUACUAACAGGUUCCGCUGAGGACUCUGACAAGACUGCCAUCGUAAGAUGUGAGGAAGGUGGGGAUGACGUCAAAUCAGCACGGCCCUUACGUCCGGGGCUACACACGUGUUACAAUGGGGGGUACAGAGGGCCGCUACCACGCGAGUGGAUGCCAAUCCCCAAAACCUCUCUCAGUUCGGACUGGAGUCUGCAACCCGACUCCACGAAGCUGGAUUCGCUAGUAAUCGCGCAUCAGCCACGGCGCGGUGAAUACGUUCCCGGGCCUUGUACACACCGCCC